rnacentral:rRNA from 1 species
UUUAAAUUGAGAGUUUGAUCCUGGCUCAGGAUGAACGCUGGCGGCGUGCUUAACACAUGCAAGUCGAGCGAUGAAGUUUCCUUCGGGAAACGGAUUAGCGGCGGACGGGUGAGUAACACGUGGGUAACCUGCCUCAUAGAGUGGAAUAGCCUUCCGAAAGGAAGAUUAAUACCGCAUAACGUUGAAAGAUGGCAUCAUCAUUCAACCAAAGGAGCAA